AGAGUUUGAUCCUGGCUCAGRAYGAAUGCUGGCGGCGUGCCUAAUACAUGCAAGUCGAGCGGAAAGGCCCUUCGGGGUACUCGAGCGGCGGACGGCUGAGUAACGCGUGGGAACAUACCCCAAAGUGAGGGAUAACCGCCCGAAAGGGUGGCUAAUACCGCAUAUGAUCUUCGGAUUAAAGGAUUUAUCCGCUUUGGGAAUGGCCUGCGUAUGAUUAGAUAGUUGGUGAGGUAAAGGCUCACCAAGUCUACGAUCAUUAACUGGUCUGAGAGGAUGAUCAGUCAGACUGGAACUGAGACACGGUCCAGACUCCUACGGGAGGCAGCAGUAAGGAAUCUUCCACAAUGGGCGAAAGCCUGAUGGAGCAACGCCGCGUGCAGGAUGAAGGCCUUCGGGUCGUAAACUGCUUUUAUAAGUGAAGAAUAUGACGGUAACUUAUGAAUAAGCACCGGCUAACUACGUGCCAGCAGCCGCGGUCAUACGUAGGGUGCAAGCAUUAUCCGGAGUGACUGGGCGUAAAGAGUUGCGUAGGUGGUCUGUUAAGUGAAUAGUGAAAUCUGGUGGCUCAACCACACAGACUAUUAUUCAAACUGGCAGACUCGAGAGUAGCAGAGGUAACUGGAAUUUCCUGUGUAGGAGUGAAAUCCGUAGAUAUAGGAAGGAACACCAAUGGCGUAGGCAGGUUACUAGGCUAUUUCUGACACUGAGGCACGAAAGCGUGGGGAGCGAACCGGAUUAGAUACCCUGGUAGUCC
rnacentral:rRNA from 1 species